rnacentral:rRNA from 1 species
UACGUAGGGUGCAAGCGUUAAUCGGAAUUAUUGGGCGUAAAGCGUCCGUAGGUGGCUUUACAAGUCAGCUGUUAAAGCGUGGAGCUUAACUCCAUAAAGGCAGUUGAAACUGUGAGGCUAGAGUGCGGUAGGGGUAAGGGGAAUUCCCAGUGUAGCGGUGAAAUGCGUAGAUAUUGGGAAGAACACCGGUGGCGAAAGCGCCUUGCUGGACCUGCACUGACACUGAGGGACGAAAGCUAGGGGAGCGAAUGGG